UUCAUGUGAUGAGUUAUUUGCUUAUGAAUUUGUGAUUACACUUUUAUUCACCAAGAUCGCUGAAUGAA
rnacentral:snoRNA from 1 species